UCAGGCAAGCGUGUACGUCUGCAGACUGCAAGACAGAGGCGUAACUUGAAAGAGGCGUAACUUGAAGUAGGAGGCGUAACUUGAAGUUGUCGAAAUCUCAUAGAAUCACGCGAGAUGUCAAAAUGAUAAGUUGUUGGCAAUAUGGCUGCUUUCAGUAGGGCACAGAGUAGAAUAUUGAUUACGUUUUUUAUGGAAAUCAGGGGUUUUAGGCAGGAUUUGAUGCAUAAGGUGUGUGUAGAUAUUAAUGUUAGGGGACAAUGUGAGUGAUGUGUACGUUUAGUGGGAAAACCUAUUAUCUGAUCCACACUCCGGGACAGAAGAGGGCGGUAUUGCACCAAUAAGCUGGAUGCCAACCGCCGUUAAACUGGAAAGAAGUUACAAUGAGUUACAAUGGAACAGAUUAUGUUUAUCUGCUGUAGAGUGACUGAUGAAGGAAUGCUGCCAUCAAAGGAUUUGUAUCUUUUGUGGUGGAGCAGGACCUGCAAGGAAAGGGGAAAAAAAGGAAAAACCUGAAACAAAAGAAUAAAGUAAUGACUUUUUGUAUUGUGUGUGUGUAUUUCUGUAGGUUAUGAAAAUGUCUGCAGACUGGUGUGUGCACUGAGGAUGGAGAAGUCCACUGCAGCAUCCGGAAAUGGUCCAGGGACACGGAUGAGACGCUCCAUCACUCCAGCUCUUACUGUCUCAUCAAGACCAGAUGCUGCUGUGGUCUCUUCAUCAUCAGUGACCCCAGAGCAGCGAGAGCAUCUAGAGAAAGACCAAAAGACACUGAGGAUUUGAUUUUGGUAGUGGUGCUCAUGGAGAGCAGCACACGAUUGUUUGGAGCAGACACAGCAGCACUCAGAUUGUCCUGCAUGUGUUCUUCUGCUCUCGUUUCAAGGUUGUGUGGUUCAGAGAGCCGUCAUCAAGGUCUUCCUCAUCCUGUUGCUCAACGACAUCCCCGUUGAGAAGAGUGAGAUUGUGAAGCACAGCGCAGCAGCAGAACUGUCUCAGCUGUGUUGAGAUGAUAGUAAGAUGUGGGGUUCACCGUCUGUAAAUACAUGAUUGUUAGAACAGUAAGUUUGAAAGAAGCUUUGUUUCAUGUGUUGUUG
ensembl:lncRNA